rnacentral:tRNA from 1 species
GGGCGAUUAGCUCAGUGGUAGAGCGACCGCCUUACACGCGGUAGGCCGUAGGUUCAAUCCCUACAUCGCCCA